rnacentral:lncRNA from 1 species
AAGAGACAACAGUCUGGGCUACAUAGCAAUAUCAGAACAGUAGAUAUGAAAUACUUGAGUAGCCUAAAAAGGUCGGGGGACGACUUUUUAGACUAUUAAUGAACCAUGCUUUUCCUGAAACACGACACCCUGCGCCAAUUAAUAAAACAUUGCUGAUGGCUGAUCACCCGAGCCCUUUCGGCUGUAUAGGUGGUGAAAGGUGACAUAAUCGUCUUUGCACAAGAUCUAGAUUGAGAUUGAGAGAUUCAGACAGAGACUGGCAGAGAGCUAGUACAGGCAGCAUGUUAAAACCGCAGCAAAGCGAGCUCCUCUUGCACGAGUCGCGGUUGUAUGGGAAGCCGUGGUUCUGGCAGCGGAAUUCCAGCACCAUGGAGAGCAGCCGGAGCCUCGCGCAGGUGAUCAUGGAGAUGCGCAACGAAAUCAAGAAGCUCGAGACCGAGAACAGUGUGCUAAGGGGGGAAAUCGGUCAGCCGACGAUUGGGACUGAGCAAGGAGAACCGAAUCCGUAUUCACCGGCAGGACAGCCCAGGAUCGGGGCUGACGACAACCCAUCCCACAUGAACCUGAGACGAAAUGCGUCCGCGCCCGCACUCGAGCGGCAAUACAAGGAGAACAUUGUAAUGACUGUCCGGAGAUACUCAAUCGCCUCCAACAUGCCAAGUGUGAUCAGGAAGAGUGAGAGCGAAGAUAGGGUGUCGAAGAAUAGAGAGGUUGCGAAAGGAAGUAACUCAAGUUGGGGUCGAAUUCACGAGGAAGUCAAUGGAAGGGCCCCAUCCGUCUUCGGGAAUUCCACGCGAGACGAGUUCAGCACCACUGCAAAGAAGUUAACCAACAGGUUAUUUCUCCAAGAAUAUGUGCACAAAAACAGGACCAAAGUAAAGACGGUCACAUUUCUUCUGCCCGUGGAUAACAUCUACACCAACCGACCAGUUCUGGCCAACCAUCUGACAGAUUUGGAUGCGAUUGCGGAGACGGAUUCGUAAAGUGAAGAUGGAUGGCGACAGGUGGCGGAACAAUAUUUCAUGUAUAGCCCAUCAAUAUGUGAAGAGCAGGGAGUUAGGGCUACAUAAAUGGGCCUGUCACACAAACAGUAUCUAGGGCAGAGUGUCAGCUACAUCGUUUUUUUAGGUCAGCCAGAAGAUUGAUUUUAUCGCACCUGACCUGAACUCCGGAACUCCACACACGGAGACUCCGGUUACAGGUGUUGUUUCCAUACGGCCGAGGUGAUCCAACGCCCGGUCAUCAGUGAUGAGCUGCCAGCCCUCCCUCUGUUGCAACACCAACAACACUCCCUCCACGGAUCAGAUGUCCAGCCCUGCAGCCCAUCGUGUCAACCUUGAGAACCUUGAGGUGACGAUCGUUUUAGUGACAGUGUGGUCUCUUUUUUUCAGAGCAAUGGGCAUGCAGCCUCUUGGUGAAUUUCAGGGUCAUCACUUGUUUUUGUUAACUAUGUAAUGUAGGGUGGCUUUGAGAAAAAAUCAAUUGGCCUAUCAAUAUUUUGCAUUGGGUCAAGACAGAGAGAACACAAAUUCGUUAGAAUCAGGGUGUUCCUUUUUACAGAUUUUAUUUUAUUCUCUCAAAUGUAAUAUUGUCCCUUCUUUUCCUUGGUAUUCAUGUACAGUAAAUGAAGUAAAUAAAUUCCCAGUGCAAGUUAUUUUAUCUGCUUUGGUUCUGCUGAAAUGAACAGUAGGCCUAUGUCAUACUGUAUAUCAUUUGUAAAUAGUCA